rnacentral:lncRNA from 1 species
CUUCUACCCUCCGCGCAGGAGAAAGUGCCCAUCACUGUCCAGAGCCAAGACUUUUGGGAGAAGACAGGACAAGGGAGGUACUAAGAACGGCACACAGCUAGGACUAUUCUGGAUGCGUAGAGACAAGACCAUCCAUACCGAGCGCCAUGAAGAAGUGCAGAAGGAAGUACAGCCUCCUGAGUGUAAAGGAGAGAAAGCCCUUCCUCAGUCCUCUUGGCUACCCCUUGGAAAUGGCAGACAUUGCUGCUGGGAAGUGUCCCAGCCCAGCAGGAGCAGAAAAUGGCGCCGGAGUCCGCUUCACCCUUGGGCCCUGCCCCAUCACAGAGCUCUGGAGGCUCGCGCUGAGAGGCGCAGGUACUGCGGUGCGGUUGUCUGUUCAUCUUCUCCAUCCCGCUCAGCCUCGUUAUUCAGAGAUGGCGCUCCUGGCCCUUUCCCCAUGGUCGCUUGCAUGUCUACAGCUUCUCAAAGGAGAGUCAUGAAGCCCAGAGAACUUGUGGGUACCUGCAUCUCCAAGAGACACCGCGUUUUCUCUGUGUUUGUGAAAAGCAGGGAUGUUGGGCGUGGCUUGUGGGCACUACACAAUAUUCACAGCAUCUUUCCUGCAGGCCAAUCGCUGGACACCUUCGGCCCCCAGGACCCCCCUCAUUAACAUAUCCUGGGAUCAGGGGCACCUUGGUGGUUUAGUCAGUUAAGUGUCCAACUCUUGGUUUCAGCUCAGGUUAUGAUCUCAUGGUUCGUGACUUCAAGCCCCAUGUCAGGCUCUGUGCUGCCAGCACGGAGCCUGCUUGGGAUUCUCGCUCUCCCUCUCUCUCU